rnacentral:rRNA from 2 species
GCUUGCUGUUUCGCUGACGAGUGGCGGACGGGUGAGUAAUGUCUGGGAAACUGCCUGAUGGAGGGGGAUAACUACUGGAAACGGUAGCUAAUACCGCAUAACGUCGCAAGACCAAAGAGGGGGACCUUCGGGCCUCUUGCCAUCGGAUGUGCCCAGAUGGGAUUAGCUAGUAGGUGGGGUAACGGCUCACCUAGGCGACGAUCCCUAGCUGGUCUGAGAGGAUGACCAGCCACACUGGAACUGAGACACGGUCCAGACUCCUACGGGAGGCAGCAGUGGGGAAUAUUGCACAAUGGGCGCAAGCCUGAUGCAGCCAUGCCGCGUGUAUGAAGAAGGCCUUCGGGUUGUAAAGUACUUUCAGCGGGGAGGAA